GACAAAGGCAUUCUUCCCAUCCAAACUGUUCACUGGUGCAUUUAUUGUGAAUUUGACCAUCUAGGGAAGAGGUGUGGCCUCUCCUGACAGGAAGGCUCUGGGGCCCAGGCAGGGAGAGUGACAUCUCAGAAUGAUUCCCUUGACAGUCCUGUUCCCCUUUCAUCAAUGCACAGACCCAGAAGAUCCCUCAGUCCUGCAGCACCUGCCAUGAGCAUCGGCCUCCUGUGCUGUGCGGCCUUUUCUCUCUUGUGGGCAGGUCCUGCAAAUGCUGAUGUCACUCAGAGCCCAAAAUUCCAGAUCCUGAAGACAGGACAGAGCAUGACACUGCAGUGUGCCCAGGAUAUGAACCAUAACUCCAUGUACUGGUAUCGACAAGACCCAGGCAUGGGGCUGAGGCUGAUUCAUUACUCAGCUGCUGAGGGUACCACUGACCCAGGAGAAGUCCCCGAUGGCUACAGUGUCUCCAGAUUAAACAAAACGGAGUUCCUGCUCAGGCUGGAGUCGGCUGCUCCCUCCCAGACAUCUGUGUACUUCUGUGCCAGCAGUGAAGCCACAGUGCUGCACGGCCGUCUCCUCUCUGUACAUAAAGGCAGGGAGGCUCUGCCCUCCUCUCUCACCCCAAACUCAGUGAUGCCCUGAGCAGAGUUCUCUGCACCAGGGACCUUGAAAC